rnacentral:rRNA from 1 species
ACUCAAAGGAAUUGACGGGGGCCCGCACAAGCGGUGGAGCAUGUUGUUUAAUUCGACGCAACGCGAAGAACCUUACCAAGGCUUGACAUGGGAACGAAAGAUACAGAGAUGUAUGCUCUCUCUUCGGAGAGCGGACCACACAGGUGGUGCAUGGUUGUCGUCAGCUCGUGUCGUGAGAUGUUGGGUUAAGUCCCGCAACGAGCGCAACCCUUGCCUUUAGUAGCGACCAGAUAGAGCUGAGCACACUAGAGGGACUGCCGUGGAGAACACGGAGGAAGGUGGGGACGAUGUCAAAUCAUCAUGCCCCUUAUGUCUUGGGCUACAAACGUGCUACAAUGGCGGACACAAAGUGAAGCAAGACUGUGAAGUGGAGCAAAACACAAAAAGGCGCCUCAGUUCGGAUUGCAGGCUGCGACUCGCCUGCAUGAAGUUGGAAUCGCUAGUAAUCGCGAAUCAGCAUGUCGCGGUGAAUACGUUCCCGGGCCUUGUACACACCGCCCGU